GGGAUUUUUUUAGACUGAUUUCAUACGAUUCAAAAUUGUAUGCAAUCGGCGGCUAUAAUGGUAAAACUUUAAAUAGCAUCGAAACAUACGAUACACUAACAAAUAAAUGGCAAUCAAUAGCACCGAUGAAUAUAAUACGAUAUGGUCAUGAUGCAACUGUAAUUCAAAAUACAAU